CUAGAAGAACCUUGGCACGCCGACGGUGCAGGGAUUGAGGAAUGUUGAUGCGGCGUGUGGGGGGAUGGUUUGCGGAUUAGUGACGGCGAGAAGAUCUUUGCUGGCGACAACAGUAUUAAGUGAGUGAGAGAGACACGCUCGGUAAGGGCCGGUUGCUGACCAAGUCCGGCACUAAGAGAUUGGGCGGCAACGAUGAUGCGCGAAAGGGAGGAGAGAAGCGCCGAUUGGGAGCUGGUUGACGCAAGGACAGCCGUGAGCUGCUCGGCGUCGACGGUGACGUCCGGCGACGGAUAGAGACCCGCCGAUGAGGAUGCUGGUUGACGUGGCAGCAAGGGAGUGAGGAGAUUUGGGGAGAAACAGUAGCCGCGGUAAUUUAGAUAAGGAAUUUGAUGGUUAAAAUUUGAAAAAGUAAGUAUUAAAAUUUUUUAUUACCUCAUUUCUGUGCAUUUUUUUUUUAUUUUUAGUGUGUCUAAGAUUUGAGUUUAUUAUUCACAAUUUUCAUUAUUUAUUUAACGGAUGUGAUCUACUAAUAUAAAUUUUAAAAAUAAUUAUCUGAACUAUCAAUAAUUGAG
rnacentral:lncRNA from 1 species